UUUUGAUGAACAACCCCCGCUGAAUGAAAAAGGUUUCCGCUUGAAAAACUUCUUUUUUAAAGAAAAACGUGGGUAAGAGUAACUGUUUACCCAGUGACGGUAUUUAACCAGAAAGCCACGGCUAACUACGUGCCAGCAGCCGCGGUAAUACGUAGGUGGCAAGCGUUAUCCGGAUUUAUUGGGCGUAAAGCGAGCGCAGGCGGUCUUUUAAGUCUAAUGUGAAAGCCUUCGGCUCAACCGAAGAAGUGCAUUGGAAACUGGGAGACUUGAGUGCAGAAGAGGACAGUGGAACUCCAUGUGUAGCGGUGAAAUGCGUAGAUAUAUGGAAGAACACCAGUGGCGAAGGCGGCUGUCUGGUCUGCAACUGACGCUGAGGCUCGAAAGCAUGGGUAGCGAACAGGAUUAGAUACCCUGGUAGUCCAUGCCGUAAACGAUGAUUACUAAGUGUUGGAGGGUUUCCGCCCUUCAGUGCUGCAGCUAACGCAUUAAGUAAUCCGCCUGGGGAGUACGACCGCAAGGUUGAAACUCAAAAGAAUUGACGGGGGCCCGCACAAGCGGUGGAGCAUGUGGUUUAAUUCGAAGCUACGCGAAGAACCUUACCAGGUCUUGACAUCUUCUGACAGUCUAAGAGAUUAGAGGUUCCCUUCGGGGACAGAAUGACAGGUGGUGCAUGGUUGUCGUCAGCUCGUGUCGUGAGAUGUUGGGUUAAGUCCCGCAACGAGCGCAACCCUUAUUACUAGUUGCCAGCAUUAAGUUGGGCACUCUAGUGAGACUGCCGGUGACAAACCGGAGGAAGGUGGGGACGACGUCAAAUCAUCAUGCCCCUUAUGACCUGGGCUACACACGUGCUACAAUGGAUGGUACAACGAGUCGCGAGACCGCGAGGUUAAGCUAAUCUCUUAAAACCAUUCUCAGUUCGGACUGUAGGCUGCAACUCGCCUACACGAAGUCGGAAUCGCUAGUAAUCGCGGAUCAGCAUGCCGCGGUGAAUACGUUCCCGGGCCUUGUACACACCGCCCGUCACACCAUGAGAGUUUGUAACACCCAAAGCCGGUGGGGUAACCUUUAGGAGCUAGCCGUCUAAGGUGACAGAGAUGGGA
rnacentral:rRNA from 1 species